UAAGAUCAUAUAUCCAUACGGGUAUGAGGCAGGGCGGUGCAACGUAGGUAGAAGUGGGCAAAUAAGAUUUUAUAUCUGUACGGGUAUGAGCCAAGGCGGUGCAACGUAGGUGGAUGUGGGCAGAUAAGAUCUUAUAUCCGUACGGGUAUGAGGUAGGGCGGUGCAACGUAGGUAGAAGUGGGCAGAUAAAAUUUUAUGUGUACAAGGCGGUGCAAAGUAGGUGGAAAUGGGCGGAUAUGAAUUUUCAAAAAACUUCAUGAUCGCUGAGUUUGAUGCCGUAUCUCCCACCACCAUCCUCCUCCUUCCUUCUUAAACCCUACCCACAUAUCCCAAACCGCCAAAUCUUUUUCCCAAAUCCCUAUUUUCCCCAACAUUAAAAUGCAAUUUUAAUCCUCAAUCAUAAUCCCCCAUUUUCCGUCAUGCAAUUUUCAUCAAAUCUUCUUUUCCCUCCGCCAAAACCCUAACCCUAACUCUAAUUCCCCCUCCCUCCAUCCUCUUAUGGAUCCUCCACGUCGCAAUCCUCGUUCCGUAAUCGACCCGAAAGUCCGACAAGUCGGAUUCUUCGCUCCACCGGAUAGUACUCAAUCGGAUGAUUUGGAAUCAUCUUCUUCUCCAAUUGCGGAAAUUUCACCUUCCGGAAAUUCUUUAUCUCCUGUAAUGAUCCCACCACCCCGCCAUUGUUCUGAUACUCACACUCUACUCUCUCCUUCUCGUCCCGUAGGACCCCAUUACCCUCGUGUACCUUCUUCCCCUCUUCGUCGUUUUUCAACUGAUCUUGUUGUUGGUAGUUACAACCCAUCGGACAUUUUCCCGUCUGAAUCGGAUUUUUCGGAGGAUGGUGUGGUUACACCGUCAAAAGAAAGUAGGAUGAGUGGUAGUAAGUUUGCUUCGUCAUUGCCGAGUGUCAACGUCGGUGGUGGGUUUGAUUUGAUGGUAGGGAAGGUUGGGAGGAAUGGCGGUUUGGGGAUUAAUAAUAGUACUUUAAUUCCUUCAAUUGCGAUUAAUUUGCCUCCUGGGAAAUCAGAAAAAGUUGGAGAGUCGUCGGCAGAUGGACCAAGUGAACAAUCUGGAAAUGUCAAGCCAUCAAAGGAGAAAAUGUCUAAAGCUGAAAGGCGCACCCUUCAGGAAGCUCAAAGGGCUGCGAAAGCUGAAAUGAACAAGGUGUCGGCUACUGCUUCCGGAACUGGGACGGCAGGAAGUUCCAAGAAAGCUAAAUCUACAAAGGCUUCCGUGCAGGAUAAAGAUAAUGCUUCUGUUGCAGCAUCUAAGAAGAAGGGUGUUGAUCGUCAAUUGGAGAAGGAGAGGAAAAAAGAUGCCCCUCAUCCUCGAAUGCAGUUUGAUGAUGAGACACGAGUGGAGAAAGCAAAAAAGCGAGCAGUUGUAAACAAGAAAGAAGCAAGAAACAGAGUUGAACUCUUUAGGCAUCUGCCUCAAUAUGAACAUGGAACGCAACUUCCUGAUUUGGAGUCCAAGUUUUUCCAACUAGAGCCAAUGCAUCCAGCUGUUUACAAGGUUGGACUGCGAUAUCUAGCUGGAGACAUUUCUGGUGGCAAUGCUCGCUGCAUAGCGAUGCUUCAAGCAUUUCAAGAAGCAAUUAAAGACUACUCGAACCCACCAGAAAAAUCUCUGAUUAGAGACCUUACUGCAAGAAUAGGUAGUUAUGUUUCAUUUCUGAUUGAGUGCAGGCCUCUUUCAGUUAGUAUGGGUAAUGCUAUUAGAUUCUUGAAGAAUCGAAUUGCCACGCUGCCUUUGAGUUUGUCUGAGUUUGAAGCAAAGACUUCUCUGCAUAUAGAUAUUGAUCAUUUUAUUAAUGAGAAAAUAUUGAUUGCUGACAAAGUCAUAGUCAAACAUGCUGUAACCAAAAUUUGGGAUGGGGAUGUUCUCCUCACUUACGGGUCAUCAUCAGCUGUGGAGUUGAUACUGCUACAUGCACAUGAGAUGGGGAAACGAUUUCGUGUAGUCAUAGUCGACUCACGUCCGAAGCUUGAGGGUCAACUUUUGCUUCGCAGAUUGGUAGCCAGGGGUCUGAAUUGUACAUACACGCAUAUAAAUGCUGUUUCAUAUAUCAUGCAUGAAGUCACUGGAGUUUUCUUGGGGGCUGCAGCAAUUUUGUCGAAUGGAACCGUUCACUCCAGGGUUGGGACUGCUUGUGUGGCUAUGGUCGCUCAUGCCUUCCAUGUUCCAGUAUUGGUUUGCUGUGAAGCAUAUAAAUUCCAUGAAAGGGUUCAACUUGAUUCUAUUUGUUUUAAUGAACUCGGUGACGCUGAUGCAAUUUUGAAGGUUUCUGGUAGAAGAGAAAUCAAUUACUUGAGUGGUAGUGAGAACUUGCAACUUUUAAAUCUGAUGUAAGUUUUAGAAGCAGUGUACAACAGAAGGUACGACACAACUCCUUCAGAUUAUAUUUCUAUGAUAAUUACAGACUAUGGCAUGAUUCCACCAAGCGUGCCAGUGAUUGUGCGUGAAUCUCGUAAGGAACAUAUAUGGAGCUAGACUCGCCGCAUCACACUUUUGUAUGACGCUGGGAAAUCGUAUUGCCAAAUCAAAGAAAUGUGACAAUAAAGCUCGAGCAUUGUACGACUCAUCACGUCAUACUCUAAAAUUUUGGAAUAAUGUUAGCUUGUAUCCAAUUUUGCCCUUCCUGUAUACCUUUCUUAUUUGUUUUGGGGUUUUUAUCCUGACUCUGUGAAGAGCGCGAAUUGUCGCCUCUCCAGGCAGUUAUAGUUGAUGUAUUAGCGGCCCAUAUUUGUAGUGCAUUUGAGUUUUUUCCCUUCCCGUUUUUGCGGGGUUUUGAUAUGUCCUUUUGGGGGAUCGUUGUAACUUGUAAGAAUCGAUAAAAAUUUACGACUAUAUGAUCAUUUUGUUCGGUUCAACAAUAAGUUUUGACAAGGAUUCCUCAAUCACCAAAAUUCUAGUGAAAAGUUUUGAAUGUCUUUUUUUCUAACAAAUAUUUUACUCCAU